GGUGACCAUGGAAACAUGGAACAGCUAAUAAAUCCUGGAUAAUACUCACGCUGCAUUUGAUUUUGCUGUCAUCUGGUACCUGCUCUUAAUGUUGGGUGAUCGCAGUACAUAAUUUACCGGAUGGCAACAGCACCUGAAUUUUACCUGAUGGGCCAGCUGAUCCCCCUCACUCUCCAAGGACCAGAUGAGAGCAUGCUGGAAAUGAACCAAUCUGCAGGGAAGGGAAACAACUCAAUAUUCAAGCUCCAUGUCAUAGAUGCAGGACUGGCUGUAUAGUUGAAAAGCCUAUUGGGGUCGUUGAAUAGAAAUUUCUGCUAUCUAUCUAUCCAGCCUAAUACAUAGUCAUCUGUUGGAUUCUCCCAAAAUGGGUCUGUGAUUAAAGGAGCGAG
ensembl:lincRNA